GCACAGGUGCUGCAUGGCUGUCGUCAGCUCGUGUCGUGAGAUGUUCGGUUAAGUCCGCUAACGAGCGCAACCCUCGCUGUGUGUUACAAGUGUCACACGGUACUGCCGGUCUUAAGCCGGAGGAAGGUGGGGAUGACGUCAAGUCAGCAUGGCCUUUAUGUCCUGGGCUACACACACGCUACAAUGGCCAACACAAUAGGUUGCUAAGCCGCGAGGUGGAGCCAAUCCUCAAAGUUGGUCUCAGUUCAGAUUGCAGGCUGCAACCCGCCUGCAUGAAGAUGGAGUUGCUAGUAACCGCAGGUCAGCUAUACUGCGGUGAAUAUGUUCCCGGGCCUU
rnacentral:rRNA from 1 species